rnacentral:misc_RNA from 1 species
GAUGAAGAACGCAGCGAAAUGCGAUACGUAAUGUGAAUUGCAGAAUUCAGUGAAUCAUCGAAUCUUUGAACGCACAUUGCACUCUCUGGUAUUCCGGAGAGUAUGCUUGUUUGAGUAUCUGUAAACAUCUCAAAUCUCUCUUCAAUUGCUUCAAUUGGGUCGAGAGAAUUGGAUUUGAGCGAUCCCGACUCCUUCGUCAGAAAGAGGAGGGUCGCUUGAAAUGCAGGUGCAGCUGGACAUUCUUCUGAGCAAAAAGCAUAUCUAUUUCGUCCCGUCAAACGGAUUAUUACUUUUGCUUCAGCUAAUAUAAAGGUUGAAUGAACUACCAACGCUGAUUGCAGGAAAACAUGUUCGUUUAUUCGGACUUGUAAACUCGAUCUCAAAUCAAGUAAGACUACCCGCUGAACUUAAGCAUAUCAAUAAGCGGAGGA